UGAACGCUAGCGGGAGGCCUAACACAUGCAAGCCGAGCGGUAGAGAUCUUUCGGGAUCUUGAGAGCGGCGUACGGGUGCGGAACACGUGUGCAACCUGCCUUUAUCAGGGGGAUAGCCUUUCGAAAGGAAGAUUAAUACCCCAUAAUAUUUAGAAUGGCAUCAUUUUAAAUUGAAAACUCCGGUGGAUAGAGAUGGGCACGCGCAAGAUUAGAUAGUUGGUGAGGUAACGGCUCACCAAGUCUGCGAUCUUUAGGGGGCCUGAGAGGGUGAUCCCCCACACUGGUACUGAGACACGGACCAGACUCCUACGGGAGGCAGCAGUGAGGAAUAUUGGACAAUGGGUGCGAGCCUGAUCCAGCCAUCCCGCGUGAAGGACGACGGCCCUAUGGGUUGUAAACUUCUUUUGUAUAGGGAUAAACCUAGAUACGUGUAUCUAGCUGAAGGUACUAUACGAAUAAGCACCGGCUAACUCCGUGCCAGCAGCCGCGGUAAUACGGAGGGUGCAAGCGUUAUCCGGAUUUAUUGGGUUUAAAGGGUCCGUAGGCGGAUCUGUAAGUCAGUGGUGAAAUCUCACAGCUUAACUGUGAAACUGCCAUUGAUACUGCAGGUCUUGAGUGUUGUUGAAGUAGCUGGAAUAAGUAGUGUAGCGGUGAAAUGCAUAGAUAUUACUUAGAACACCAAUUGCGAAGGCAGGUUACUAAGCAACAACUGACGCUGAUGGACGAAAGCGUGGGGAGCGAACAGGAUUAGAUACCCUGGUAGUCCACGCCGUAAACGAUGCUAACUCGUUUUUGGGUUUUCGGAAUCAGAGACUAAGCGAA
rnacentral:rRNA from 1 species